rnacentral:tRNA from 1 species
CAGGGGGUAUUUUAUGUAAAAUAUUAGUUUUGGGGAUUAGUGAAAUGGUUUGUACCUUCCCUCUGA